rfam:Ictidomys tridecemlineatus contig060091, whole genome shotgun sequence.
GGGGUUGUAGCUCAGUGGUAGAGCGCUCACCUCACACGUGCGAGGCACUUUGUUUGAUCCUCAGCACCA